GAUGAACGCUAGCUACAGGCUUAACACAUGCAAGUCGAGGGGAAACGACAUCGAAAGCUUGCUUUUGAUGGGCGUCGACCGGCGCACGGGUGAGUAACGCGUAUCCAACCUGCCCACCACUUGGGGAUAACCUUGCGAAAGUAAGACUAAUACCCAAUGAUAUCCCACGAAGACAUCUGAAUGGGAUUAAAGAUUUAUCGGUGAUGGAUGGGGAUGCGUCUGAUUAGCUUGUUGGCGGGGUAACGGCCCACCAAGGCAACGAUCAGUAGGGGUUCUGAGAGGAAGGUCCCCCACAUUGGAACUGAGACACGGUCCAAACGCCUACGGGAGGCAGCAGUGAGGAAUAUUGGUCAAUGGGCGAGAGUCUGAACCAGCCAAGUAGCGUGCAGGAAGACGGCCCUAUGGGUUGUAAACUGCUUUUAUAAGGGAAUAAAGUGGGUCACGUGUGACUUUUUGCAUGUACCUUAUGAAUAAGGACCGGCUAAUUCCGUG
rnacentral:rRNA from 1 species